rnacentral:rRNA from 1 species
GGAGGAUGCGAGCGUUAUCCGGAUUUAUUGGGUUUAAAGGGAGCGUAGACGGGUCGUUAAGUCAGCUGUGAAAGUUUGAGGCUCAACCUUAAAAUUGCAGUUAAUACUGGCGUCCUUGAGUACGGUUGAGGCAGGCGGAAUUCGUGGUGUAGCGGUGAAAUGCUUAGAUAUCACGAAGAACCCCGAUUGCGAAGGCAGCCUGCUAAACCGCCACUGACGUUGAGGCUCGAAAGUGUGGGUAUCAAACAGGAUUAGAUACCCUGGUAGUCCACACGGUAAACGAUGGAUACUCGCUGUUGGCGAUAGACUGUCAGCGGCUUAGCGAAAGCGUUAAGUAUCCCACCUGGGGAGU